rnacentral:rRNA from 1 species
AAGCCUGACCAGCAACGCCGCGUGAAGGAUGAAAUCCCUCGGGAUGUAAACUUCGCAAGAAUGGGAAGAAUGAGCGAGCGCUAAUACCGUUCGUGAUGACGGUACCAUUUGUAAGCUCCGGCUAACUCCGUGCCAGCACCGCGGUAAUA